UCCCUCGUAGCUUAGUUGGUAAAGAAUCUGCCUGCAAUGCAGGAGGCCUGGGUUUGAUUCCUGGAUCGGGAA
rnacentral:tRNA from 1 species